GUCAUAUUUAUAUUAUAUGAUGUGACAUUGUGACAUAUGACAGAGUGCCCAGAAAGUCAUUAUGCCUCAAGAGCUUAUAACCUACAAGGAAUUUAAAGGCGUAUUAUUCAGCCAUGCCCACCCACACCCUGCUAUUAUCUACAACAGCAGGGGACUCACUAGAUGAAUCAGAUGCUAGAGAUUCUUUCCAUGUGCACAGGAAACACUGAUUAAUUGGAGCAGUGACAAAAAAGUCUCUUUACCAGGUCAGCACGUGUGGAGGAAUAGCAUACCAUAAGUAACUUGGAGGUGAAGAUUAAUGGUCAGACAGUGGUGUGAAAAUGAUAAGAUCAUCUGGAGAACCAAUCCAAGCACACAGUCUCCAAGACAGGAGACACAGAAGGAGCCUUCCUGGUGCUUCAAACACAGAUUUCUGUUGCAAGACAUUAUUGCAAGAGCAAAUCCAAAAGAAACUGAACUGAAACCCACAGGAUAACCCAGCUUAAAUGACUGGAAAUAUAAAUAAAUUCCUAGUAGCCUAUUACA
rnacentral:lncRNA from 1 species